rnacentral:rRNA from 1 species
ACAGCCAGAUCACCGUUUAAGGCCCUAAAUAAUUACUAAGUGGUAAAGGAGGUAAUCGUACAUAGACAACCAGGAGGUUUGCCUAGAAGCAGCCACCCUUUAAAAAUUGCGUAAUAGCUUACUGGUCAAGUGCUUUUGCGCCGAAAAUGAACGGGACUAAGUAAUUUGCCGAAAAUGUGAGAUAAUAUCGGUAGAAGAGCGUUCUGUUUUAGUUUGAAGCAAUAGUGAAAACAGUUGUGGACUAUUCAGAAGUGAGAAUGUCGGCUUAAGUAACGAAAACAUUGGUGGAAAUCCAAUGCCCCGGAAACCUAAGGAUUCCUUCGCAAGGUUCGUCCACGAAGGGUUAGUCAGGACCUAAAAUGAGGUUUAACAACGUAAUUGAUGGAUAACGGGUUAAUAUUCCCGUACUGCAUUUUAUAUGAUUAAGAGUGACGAAGAAGGCUAUAUCAUCCAAGGUUUGGUUUUUGGUUUAAUCUUUCAAGGUUUUGAGAAAUGCUAAAAAAAGUAUUUUGAGCUGAGAAGAGAAUACGAGAUAUACUACGGUAUUGAAAGUGAUAAAUGUCAUGCUUCCUAGAAAAACUUUUUUAACUUCUGUAAUUUGCACCUGUACCUUAAACUGACACAGGUAGGUUGGUAGAGAAUACCAAGGGGCGCGAGAUAACUCUUUCUAAGGAACUCGGCAAAAUGACUCUGUAACUUCGGGAGAAAGAGUGCCACAAUUUUGUGGUCGCAGUUAACAGACCCAAGCGACUGUUUACCAAAAACACAGGUCUCCGCUAAGUUGUAAAACUAUGUAUGGGGGCUGACGCCUGCCCAGUGCCGGAAGGUUAAAGAAAUUGGUUAGCUCACGCGAAGCUAGUGACUGAAGCCCUGGUGAACGGCGGCCGUAACUAUAACGGUCCUAAGGUAGCGAAAUUCCUUGUCGGGUAAGUUCCGACCCGCACGAAAGGCGUAACGAUUUGGGUACUGUCUCAGAAAGAGACUCGGUGAAAUAGAAUUGACUGUGAAGAUGCGGUCUACUUGCACUUGGACAGAAAGACCCUAUGAAGCUUUACUGUUAACUUGAAAUUGGUUUCGGGCUUUUCUUGCGCAGAAUAGGUGGGAGGCUAUGAUCCUCUUUUUAGGAAGUUGGUGAGCCGUAAUGUGAGAUACCACUCUAGAAAAGUUAGAAAUCUAAUGACAUUUUUUAAACAAGAUGUUUGACACUUUCAGGCGGGCAGUUUUACUGGGGCGGUAGCCUCCUAAAAAGUAACGGAGGCGUACAAAGGUUUUCUCAGGCUGGACGGAAAUUAGUUGGAGAGUGUAAAGAUAUAAGAAAGCUUGACUGUGAGACCUACAAGUCGAACAGAGACUAAAGUCGGUCUUAGUGAUCCGACGAUGCUGAAUGGAAAGGUCGUCGCUCAACGGAUAAAAGUUACUCUAGGGAUAACAGGCUGAUCUCCCCCAAGAGUUCACAUCGACGGGGAGGUUUGGCACCUCGAUGUCGGCUCAUCGCAACCUGGGGCGGAAGUACGUUCCAAGGGUUGGGCUGUUCGCCCAUUAAAGCGGUACGUGAGCUGGGUUCAGAACGUCGAGAGACAGUUCGGUCCAUAUCCGGUGUGAGUGUUAGAGUAUUGAAAGGAGCUUUCCUUAGUACGAGAGGACCGGGAAGGACGCACCACUGAUGUGCCAGUUUUUGUACCAACAGAAUACGCUGGGUAGUCACGUGCGGAGU